rnacentral:rRNA from 1 species
GCUGCCUUAACAUGCAAGUCGAACGGCAGCACGGGAGCAAUCCUGGUGGCGAGUGGCGAACGGGUGAGUAAUAUAUCGGAACGUGCCCAGUCGUGGGGGAUAACGUAAAGAAAUUUACGCUAAUACCGCAUACGAUCUAAGGAUGAAAGCGGGGGACUUCGCAAGAGGCCUCGCGCGACUGGAGCGGCUGAUAUCAGAUUAGGUUGUUGGUGAGGCAAAAGCUCACCAAGCCGACGAUCUGUAGCUGGUUUGAGAGAACGACCAGCCACACUGGGACUGAGACACGGCCCAAACUCCUACGGGAGGCAGCAGUGGGGAAUUUUGGACAAUGGGCGAAAGCCUGAUCCAGCAAUGCCGCGUGCAGGAAGAAGGCCUUCGGGUUGUAAACUGCUUUUGUACGGAACGAAAAGGUCUGCCUUAAUACGGUGGGCCCAUGACGGUACCGUAAGAAUAAGCACCGGCUAACUACGUGCCAGCAGCCGCGGUAAUACGUAGGGUGCGAGCGUUAAUCGGAAUUACUGGGCGUAAAGCGUGCGCAGGCGGUGAUGUAAGACAGUUGUGAAAUCCCCGGGCUCAACCUGGGAAUUGCAUCUGUGACUGCAUCGCUAGAGUACGGUAGAGGGGGAUGGAAUUCCGCGUGUAGCAGUGAAAUGCGUAGAUAUGCGGAGGAACACCGAUGGCGAAGGCAAUCCCCUGGACCUGUACUGACGCUCAUGC